rnacentral:rRNA from 1 species
CAGGCCUAACACAUGCAAGUCGAACGAUGCCUUCGGGCAUAGUGGCGCACGGGUGCGUAACGCGUGGGAACCUGCCCUUUGGUUCGGAAUAACUCAGGGAAACUUGAGCUAAUACCGGAUGAUGACUUCGGUCCAAAGAUUUAUCGCCAAGGGAUGGGCCCGCGUAGGAUUAGCUAGUUGGUGGGGUAAUGGCCUACCAAGGCGACGAUCCUUAGCUGGUCUGAGAGGAUGAUCAGCCACACUGGGACUGAGACACGGCCCAGACUCCUACGGGAGGCAGCAGUGGGGAAUAUUGGACAAUGGGCGAAAGCCUGAUCCAGCAAUGCCGCGUGAGUGAUGAAGGCCUUAGGGUUGUAAAGCUCUUUUACCCGGGAUGAUAAUGACAGUACCGGGAGAAUAAGCUCCGGCUAACUCCGUGCCAGCAGCCGCGGUAAU